GUGCUAGUUUCAGCAGCACAUAUACUAAAAUUGGAAUGAUGCAGAGAAGAUUAGCAUGUCCCCUGCAUAAGGAUGACAUGCAAAUUCAUGAAACGUUUCAUAUUUUA
ensembl:snRNA U6 U6 spliceosomal RNA